rnacentral:rRNA from 1 species
CCUACGGGAGGCAGCAGUGAGGAAUAUUGGUCAAUGGACGAGAGUCUGAACCAGCCAAGUAGCGUGAAGGAUGACUGCCCUAUGGGUUGUAAACUUCUUUUAUAAAGGAAUAAAACGAGGCAAGUGUGCCUUUUUGCAUGUACUUUAUGAAUAAGGAUCGGCUAACUCCGUGCCAGCAGCCGCGGUAAUACGGAGGAUCCGAGCUUUAUCCGGAUUUAUUGGGUUUAAAGGGAGCGUAGAUGGGUUGUUAAGUCAGUUGUGAAAGUUUGCGGCUCAACCGUAAAAUUGCAAUUGAUACUGGCAGUCGUGAGUACAGUUGAGGUAGGCGGAAUUCGUGGUGUAGCGGUGAAAUGCUUAGAUAUCACGAAGAACCCCGAUUGCGAAGGCAGCUUACUAAACUGUGACUGACAUUGAUGCUCGAAAGUGUGGGUAUCAAACAGGAUUAGAUACCCCAGUAGUC